rnacentral:pre_miRNA from 1 species
UAAGUACUCCCUCCGUUCUGAAUUACUUGUCUUAGAUUUGUCUAGAUACGGAUGUAUCUAGCACUAAAAUGAAUCUAGAUACGGAUGUAUCUAGACAAAUCUAAGACAAGUAAUUCGGAACGGAGGGAGUAGGUU